rnacentral:rRNA from 1 species
UACAGAGGGUGCGAGCGUUAAUCGGAAUUACUGGGCGUAAAGAGCUCGUAGGCGGUGUGUCACGUCGGCCGUGAAAACCUGCAGCUUAACUGUGGGCGUGCGGUCGAUACGGGCAUCACUGGAGUUCGGCAGGGGAGACUGGAAUUCCUGGUGUAGCGGUGAAAUGCGCAGAUAUCAGGAGGAACACCGGUGGCGAAGGCGGGUCUCUGGGCCGAUACUGACGCUGAGGAGCGAAAGCGUGGGGAGCAAACAGG